AUUGAACGCUGGCGGCAUGCUUUACACAUGCAAGUCGAACGGCAGCGGGGAGGAGCUUGCUUCUCUGCCGGCGAGUGGCGAACGGGUGAGUAAUACAUCGGAACGUGUCGAGAAGAGGGGGAUAACCACCCGAAAGGGUGGCUAAUACCGCAUAAAUUCUGAGGAAGAAAGCUGGGGACCUAGGAAUAGGCCUAGCGCUUUUUGAGCGGCCGAUGUCGGAUUAGCUAGUUGGUGAGGUAAAGGCUCACCAAGGCGAAGAUCUGUAGCGGGUCUGAGAGGAUGAUCCGCCACACUGGGACUGAGACACGGCCCAGACUCCUACGGGAGGCAGCAGUGGGGAAUUUUGGACAAUGGGGGCAACCCUGAUCCAGCCAUGCCGCGUGUAUGAAGAAGGCCUUAGGGUUGUAAAGUACUUUUGUUAGGGAAGAAAAGGCAGCUGUGAAUAAUGACUGAUACUGACGGUACCUAAAGAAUAAGCACCGGCUAACUACGUG
rnacentral:rRNA from 1 species